AGCGAACGUUGGCGGUAGGCCUAACACAUGCAAGUCGAACGGCAGCACAGUAAGAGCUUGCUCUUACGGGUGGCGAGUGGCGGACGGGUGAGGAAUACAUCGGAAUCUACUUUUUCGUGGGGGAUAACGUAGGGAAACUUACGCUAAUACCGCAUACGACCUACGGGUGAAAGCAGGGGAUCUUCGGACCUUGCGCGAUUGAAUGAGCCGAUGUCGGAUUAGCUAGUUGGCGGGGUAAAGGCCCACCAAGGCGACGAUCCGUAGCUGGUCUGAGAGGAUGAUCAGCCACACUGGAACUGAGACACGGUCCAGACUCCUACGGGAGGCAGCAGUGGGGAAUAUUGGACAAUGGGCGCAAGCCUGAUCCAGCCAUACCGCGUGGGUGAAGAAGGCCUUCGGGUUGUAAAGCCCUUUUGUUGGGAAAGAAAAGCAGCAGGUUAAUACCCCGCUGUUCUGACGGUACCCAAAGAAUAAGCACCGGCUAACUUCGUG
rnacentral:rRNA from 1 species